CUAAUUGGAUAAAUAAAAUAUAAUAAAUUUAUAUUUUGACAAACAUUUCUAAAAAUUAUAUAUGUCACUUUCUCAGGAAGUAAACAUAUAUAUGUAUAUAUAUAUAUAUACAUUAUACAUUUCUUCACAUAGUGUCAAUAUUUCAAACUAGAGAAAAACAAGACAAAGUAAGACUACAUAGAUCAAGUUAUAACAGCUUGAGAAAUAGAAAUAAAAGAAAAAAGUACGCCAUGCCGCUCAUUCGAAAGAUUGAAGCGAUUGAGGUGAAACAGCUGUGUAAAAUCUUUAAUGGCAUUGUCCAGACACCGGCGCAGAUGGGAGCUGUUUUGAAGUAAUUAACCCUGUUAACCCAAGGCGCUGAGGUUCGCACGGACAGCACUCUAAGCUCAUACACCGCGCAUAUGCAUGUAUAUAUAUAUAGAUACAUAAGGCGUGACAGCACGGUCAAUCGGCCAAUACCAAUUCUCUCUUAAUUUAUUACAAUCUUCUAUUAUUAUCACUAUAGUCCCACAACUACAAGUAAAAACUUUUCCUCAAGGAUCAACAUCCUUAGGAAUUUACAUUACUUGUGAAAGAAUUACAUCUACAAUCUAAGAUUAAUGAAUGGAAAAUCCGAUAGUGGCUUGGAAAGACAAAUUUUUUAAUCACGUGUUACAUUGAAAUUCGAUUUAUCGAUCGAUUAUCUGAUUCAGACAAUUGAUUACGCAGCUACAGUAUGGCUUUGAUGAUAAUUGAAUAAAUCUGUUGAUAAAUUUAAAUUAACACAUGACACCCA